GAUGAAGAACGCAGCGAAAUGCGAUAAGUAGUGUGAAUUGCAGAAUUCAGUGAAUCAUCGAAUCUUUGAACGCACAUUGCGCCUCCUGGUAUUCCGGGAGGCAUGCCUGUUCGAGCGUCAUUAAAAUCACUCAAGCUUAGGUUUACCUAUUGCUUGGUCUUGGAGAUGGAAGUCAAUUUAUUGGAAUCCUCUUCGAAAUUCAAUGGCGAAGACCCUUGCUCUCCCAAGUGUAGUAAUAACUUAUGUCACUGAAGGAAGCGAGAAAUCUUCUGCCGUAACCCCCAUAUUUUCUAUGAUUGACCUCGGAUCAGGUAGGGAUACCCGCUGAACUUAAGCAUAUCAAUAAGCGGAGGA
rnacentral:misc_RNA from 1 species